UACGUAGGGUGCAAGCGUUGUCCGGAAUUAUUGGGCGUAAAGAGCUCGUAGGCGGUCUUCGGCGUCGGAUGGGAAAAUCCAGGGCUCAACCCUGGACCUGCAUUCGAUACGGGCAGACUAGAGUUCGGUAGGGGAGUCUGGAAUUCCUGGUGUAGCGGUGAAAUGCGCAGAUAUCAGGAGGAACACCGGUGGCGAAGGCGGGACUCUGGGCCGAUACUGACGCUGAGGAGCGAAAGCGUGGGGAGCGAACAGG
rnacentral:rRNA from 1 species